rnacentral:rRNA from 2 species
GGGCUUGAUAUCCUAAGAACCUUUUAGAGAUAAGAGGGUGCUAGCUUGCUAGAACUUAGAGACAGGUGCUGCACGGCUGUCGUCAGCUCGUGUCGUGAGAUGUUGGGUUAAGUCCCGCAACGAGCGCAACCCACGUAUUUAGUUGCUAACGGUUCGGCCGAGCACUCUAAAUAGACUGCCUUCGUAAGGAGGAGGAAGGUGUGGACGACGUCAAGUCAUCAUGGCCCUUAUGCCCAGGGCGACACACGUGCUACAAUGGCAUAUACAAUGAGACGCAAUACCGCGAGGUGGAGCAAAUCUAUAAAAUAUGUCCCAGUUCGGAUUGUUCUCUGCAACUCGAGAGCAUGAAGCCGGAAUCGCUAGUAAUCGUAGAUCAGCCAUGCUACGGUGAAUACGUUCCCGGGUCUUGUACUCACCGCCCGUCACACCAUGGGAGUUGAUUUCACUCGAAGCCGGAAUACUAAACUAGUUACCGUCCACAGUGGAAUCAGCGACUGGGGUGAAGUCGUAACAAGGUAACCGUAGGAGAACCUGCGGUUGGAUCACCUCCUUUCUAG